rnacentral:rRNA from 1 species
AGAGCGAACGCUGGCGGCAGGCUUAACACAUGCAAGUCGAGCGCCCCGCAAGGGGGGCGGCAGACGGGUGAGUAACGCGUGGGAACGUACCUUUUGGUUCGGAACAACACAGGGAAACUUGUGCUAAUACCGGAUAAGCCCUUACGGGGAAAGAUUUAUCGCCGAAAGAUCGGCCCGCGUCUGAUUAGCUAGUUGGUGAGGUAACGGCUCACCAAGGCGACGAUCAGUAGCUGGUCUGAGAGGAUGAUCAGCCACAUUGGGACUGAGACACGGCCCAAACUCCUACGGGAGGCAGCAGUGGGGAAUAUUGGACAAUGGGCGCAAGCCUGAUCCAGCCAUGCCGCGUGAGUGAUGAAGGCCCUAGGGUUGUAAAGCUCUUUUAACGGGAAGAUAAUGACGGUACCCGUAGAAUAAGCCCGGCUAACUUCGUGCCAGCAGCCGC